AUUGAACGCUGGCGGCAUGCUUUACACAUGCAAGUCGAACGGUAACAGGCCGCAAGGUGCUGACGAGUGGCGAACGGGUGAGUAAUGCAUCGGAACGUGCCCAGUCGUGGGGGAUAACGCAGCGAAAGCUGUGCUAAUACCGCAUACGAUCUAUGGAUGAAAGCGGGGGACCGUAAGGCCUCGCGCGAUUGGAGGGGCCGAUGUCAGAUUAGGUAGUUGGUGGGGUAAAGGCUCACCAAGCCAACGAUCUUUAGCUGGUCUGAGAGGACGACCAACCACACUGGGACUGAGACACGGCCCAGACUCCUCCGGGAGGCAGCAGUGGGGAAUUUUGGACAAUGGGCGCAAGCCUGAUCCAGCAAUGCCGCGUGCAGGAAGAAGGCCUUCGGGUUGUAAACUGCUUUUGUACGGAACGAAAAGGUUUGGGUUAAUACCCUGGGCCGAUGACGGUACCGUAAGAAUAAGCACCGGCUAACUACGUGCCAGCCGCCGCCGUAA
rnacentral:rRNA from 1 species